UUUGGAUAUUUUUCUCGGGGUGUGUUUGAAUAAAAACCCCGUUUUUUUUAAAAAAAAAAAAGAGUUUUUAUAUUGGGGUUCCCCCUCUGCUCAGGAAGAACGCUGGCGGCGUGCCUAAUACAUGCAAGUCGAGCGAACAGAUAAGGAGCUUGCUCCUUUGACGUUAGCGGCGGACGGGUGAGUAACACGUGGGUAACCUACCUAUAAGACUGGAAUAACUCCGGGAAACCGGGGCUAAUGCCGGAUAACAUUUAGAACCGCAUGGUUCUAAAGUGAAAGAUGGUUUUGCUAUCACUUAUAGAUGGACCCGCGCCGUAUUAGCUAGUUGGUAAGGUAAUGGCUUACCAAGGCAACGAUACGUAGCCGACCUGAGAGGGUGAUCGGCCACACUGGAACUGAGACACGGUCCAGACUCCUACGGGAGGCAGCAGUAGGGAAUCUUCCGCAAUGGGCGAAAGCCUGACGGAGCAACGCCGCGUGAGUGAUGAAGGGUUUCGGCUCGUAAAACUCUGUUAUUAGGGAAGAACAAACGUGUAAGUAACUGUGCACGUCUUGACGGUACCUAAUCAGAAAGCCACGGCUAACUACGUGCCAGCAGCCGCGGUAAUACGUAGGUGGCAAGCGUUAUCCGGAAUUAUUGGGCGUAAAGCGCGCGUAGGCGGUUUCUUAAGUCUGAUGUGAAAGCCCACGGCUCAACCGUGGAGGGUCAUUGGAAACUGGGAGACUUGAGUGCAGAAGAGGAAAGUGGAAUUCCAUGUGUAGCGGUGAAAUGCGCAGAGAUAUGGAGGAACACCAGUGGCGAAGGCGACUUUCUGGUCUGUAACUGACGCUGAUGUGCGAAAGCGUGGGGAUCAAACAGGAUUAGAUACCCUGGUAGUCCACGCCGUAAACGAUGAGUGCUAAGUGUUAGGGGGUUUCCGCCCCUUAGUGCUGCAGCUAACGCAUUAAGCACUCCGCCUGGAGACGCCGACGUUGG
rnacentral:rRNA from 1 species